UUAUAUAUACUUCAUUUUGUUAUUUUCUACCUCAAUAAAAAAACAUAAAAUUGAACACCAUGACAUCUGAUAAACCGUCAAUUGUCUCAAUUAAACAUGUUUCAAACAUGAUAAUAAAUAUAAUCAUAUUGAAGACAUUGGAAAUUUGGACCGAGGCUUUUAACAGCGCAAAGGAGGUGAAGCUCCAAAAACGAUGAAAAAGACGCCAGAAGGCAAACAAAAGCAGAGAGAACACAUGAUUCUGAAGAGUUUGGGUGUAUAUUCGUGGAUCGCUUUUCCAGUAAUAAAUAAAUAAAAGACAGAGAGAUUGAGGGACUUUCGGCAGGAGUAUUACACAUACGACAUCGCUCGAGAUCAAUUAUCUUAAUUAUCUCACUGUAACAAAAUUACAAUGGGUAUUUUGAAGCAUUAUUAAAAUUUUAUUAUUCUUCAAAGAGUGUGUUGGAAGUUUCAAGCUCGCCCUAUAGAUCGAAUAUGUUGAUUCAUCUACAAAAAAGAGGGAUUUCAAGAGGAAAUUGUGAUGGGCAUUAUACUCUCAGGGUAAAUUUUAUACAGAAUAAAAGUAUUCGAUAAUUGCUUCUGACGUUGUUCAUUGUCAAGAUAAUCAUACAAUAAAUAAGAGAGGGCAUAACGCA